AUGCAAGUAACCACAAAACCAAUAUAUUACGUGUGUAUGUGAAUUAGUGCUAAUAAGCUACUUUAACAGUAUAAGCAAUGGAAAUCUAACACUGAUAGAACAAUUAAAAUCAACAAUUCCAAAAUCAAAACAAAAAAACAAUAAGCUAUAGAAAAUUAAAACAUAUAAUACUUACGAAAAAUAAAUGCAGUGCAGAACUUAAGACC
rnacentral:lncRNA from 1 species